AUUGAACGCUGGCGGCAGGCCUAACACAUGCAAGUCGAACGAGUGGCGGACGGGUGAGUAAUGUCUGGGAAACUGCCUGAUGGAGGGGGAUAACUACUGGAAACGGUAGCUAAUACCGCAUACCAUCGGAUGUGCCCAGAUGGGAUUAGCUUGUUGGUGGGGUAACGGCUCACCAAGGCGACGAUCCCUAGCUGGUCUGAGAGGAGAACCAGCCAACCUGGAACGGAUACACGGUCCAGACUCCGACAGGAGGCAGCAGUGGGGAAUAUUGAACAAUGGGCGCAAGCCUGAUGCAGCCAUGCCGCGUGUAUGAAGAAGGCCUUCGGGUUGUAAAGUACUUUCAGCGGGGAGGCGUUACCCGCAGAAGAAGCACCGGCGAACUCCGUGCCAGCAGCCGCGGUAAUAC
rnacentral:rRNA from 1 species